GUCGCAAGUGCCCUUGGCCGGCCGGCUCGUUUGUCUGAUGGGAGGAGAAGGACCCCGGGUUACAAUAAGAAACAACUUAGGGUUCCAGAUGCGAAGCCAAGACUCAUAUGAAUAGUGUUUGUGGGCUGCGGCGUGAUUCUUUGAAACUCUAGGGUCCCCGGUGCAAGAUAUGUUUUCCUUUUCAUUUUUUUUUCAGAUUUCUGGGUAAACUUUGGAAAUCCAUAGUAAUUCAU
rnacentral:lncRNA from 1 species